rnacentral:misc_RNA from 1 species
UGGAGCUCCCUUCAAAUAACACAAGAUUUAUCCCAAAACUUCCCAAAGAGCAACAGUUGGAGAAGACAUAAAAUAACUUACCACACUAACUGGAUAUAAAAUAUCAGGAUGAGUUACUGUAAGAUAGUUUAACUUACCUAUGGAUUUUCAAACAACUUACCAUCCUCUAGUACAAGUUGCAAAUUUGGAGUAAUUGAUGCACUACAAGGCUUAGCACCUUCCCAGUUUCUGCCAGUAGAUCAAGAACAUAUUUUUGCUGAGACAAGAAGAUACCUUUCUUAUUUCUCAUAACUUCAAUACCCAAAA